rnacentral:rRNA from 1 species
UACGAAAGGGGGCUAGCGUUGCUCGGAAUCACUGGGCGUAAAGCGCACGUAGGCGGCUUUUUUAAGUCAGGGGUGAAAUCCUGGAGCUCAACUCCAGAACUGCCUUUGAUACUGAGAAGCUUGAGUCCGGGAGAGGUGAGUGGAACUGCGAGUGUAGAGGUGAAAUUCGUAGAUAUUCGGCAAGAACACCAGUGGCGAAGGCGGCUCACUGGCCCGGUACUGGACGCUGAGGUGCGAAAGCGU